CCUUGUUCAGGUAAAUAGCAAAGCAACAUUAAUGUUUGCGGGUUUGAUUAACGAUGAAGUUCAGGAAAAUAUUAUCUGGCCAGACCUACCCUAUGUAACUGACGAACAUGGAAAUAUCUAUUUUCAAGUGAAGAGCACUGAAGAGACCUUGCAAAACCUAAAUUCAGAAAAUAACUUUGUGGUAUGGAUUUUGGCUUACAUAUUUAAUAUAAUGUCAUCACACCUCUCACAUCUCAUCUCAAACCAGAAGAUGUGUUCAUUUGUUUAUUUUUUAUUAUUCCGAACUUUUACUUGGCAUUUGAACGUUCCCUCGUGAUGGUAGGUAACGUGACAAAUUCUGCCGAUUUAAAGGAUAUACAUAGUAUAAAUAUAACUAAUUUCUCCGAUAUUUAUUUUUAUUCUUCGUAAUGCUUGUUCAGCCGGUAGGGUUUCAACUGUUGAAAUUAACCAAAUUUCAAUGAGUGUGCCAGCAUUUCAAUGCAAGUAGAAAGGUAUACCCUAGGUAUAUUUUGGAUAUCUUAAUUCAUGUUUUUCACUAUAAAUUUGGGAAUAAAGAUUGUAUUUAAGGACUUGCAUGCUUUUAAAGCAAUAAAGCAAGAAAUGGUUCUGUUAUACGUAUGUAAUUCAUAAGCAAAGAUUAUACAUGUUUUCAAAAGGUAUCAAAAUCAUCAGAUUUGUACUCAAAGACUGCUUUAUCUCAUUCCUACUGGAAAGUACAAGAAAAAAAAAAAAAAAAA